CCGAAACCUGAGCCUGUACGUCCCCCUGAACAACUCUCCCAUGGAGGUUAGUCAGAUGCCUGUAUGUCAACAGUCACUAAAAGUCUGCUUGAUAGGCAACCAUCAAUCAAUGCGUCCAUAUGUCUACAUAGACUUGGGUACGUCCAUGAGCUGAAAAUGUCAGUUCCUUCAGUCUACGUAAUUCCAACAUUUUGUCAAACCACAUAAGGAGGGGCAGACGUAUGUCAUUUUUACAAAAUUAGGGGUAUAACUUGUUUUUCAGUGUUUAAUAUUCGUAUGGUAAGGAAUUUCAUGUAUCUAGCGGUUAGUGUAGUGGUAUGAUGUAAGAGAAAAGGAGAAGUCUGAAAGAGAGAGGGGUGGUUGUCGAAGAACUUCAUCAAGAUGUCAG